GAUAACGUGAAAUGGAGUUGGGAGAAAGCACGAAAGAGUACGAGUUGAGAAGCGUGUUUGCUUAUAGAGAACUGUUUAUGUAAUGCACCAGUUUAGUAAGUGUUCAACAAGAACUCUUGUAAAGCGUAAAUGGUGAUAGUUUAUGUCCGUUUGAGUGGACGACUCAGCACACAAAGACAAAAAGAAGUUUAAGUUAGCUGCUGACUUAGUGGCUAGUGCUUUGCAUGGACUUUGCUAACAAGCUAGCAACCAGUGACCUUGACUAGUAAAGCCUUUGUGAAACUGCAAGAAAAACGACAACGAAAGACCCGACGGAGCCGGAUAGCGUUGCCGAGUGGUAGACUUUGCGAAAUCGUCAGUUGCAUGAAUCUUCUCUUCAACCGUCUCAUCUUCAUUGUGAAUCUUCUCGUCAUAUCUCCUGCUGCUGUUGCCUUUGAUCCUGCGCGCGUAAGCCUACAUUCCCAUUGAGUAAAGGUACCAUUUUCUUUUGUUUUUGCCUUCGUGGUGAAGCAGCCAUUUUGCUUAGGGCUACACCGCACCCGAGCUGCAUUCAGGCCUGCAUCACUUGAACAUUUGAAAGAAAGAAGUGGUGGACUGGAUGAAGCUGGAUGAUGGACUCUUCUAAUCAGGAUUUCUGGAGCAAGGUGCUGCAGGACUUCCAGCUACUGUUUGGAGAAGAUAUUUCCCCUCAAUUUAUGGAAGUGGGGAAUUUUUCUGAAGCCAGAAAUCAUCAAAGGAUCCAAGAACCUCACCAUGUUGACCAAAGACACCCAUGUUGGACUCAUGAUUCCCAAACACCACUUUUACACCAAAAAGACACCCAUGUUGGACUCAUGAUUCCCAAACACCACUUUUACACCAAAGUCCUUUAGGCAAGUCCUUUAUUUCAACGCAUUUUGGGCCCUUAUCGAGCAUCUAUUUCGGGCAGAACUGCACGUGUGCAAGGCUUCACAACACCGACCGCGCUCCAGCGGCGAGAUCACAACACAUGAUUGGUACCGUGUAUUCACAUGUCAUCUUUUGGCCAUGGAAGGUGUUGAGAUGUGGAUACACUACCCCAGAGCACUGUAGACAAUCACAUAAUUACCAGUGAGAGCAGGCGCGCUCAACUCCAAAUCUCACAACAAUUUCGGGUGCGAGUCAAAAGGUGACAACUUAGAAUAGAAAAACCGCACUCUCAAGUAUAUUCUCCCCCCCGUCAUCUACUUCCUGAAUUUUUGGUCAACGAUACCCGGGACCAGUACCCCACCGGGGCACAUGACAUUUGGUGGGUAUGUAGCCCCACUAGACUUUUACGGAAAAAUUUCGUUUGGUCCCCGGGGGCCACUUCCCCACUGCGCUGGGCCCACCGAAACCCAAAAAAUGCCGUUUUUCCUAAAUAACUACCUGAACCGUGGCACCGAGGAUUAAGACAUUUUUAUGGU